UAUCCGGCGAUGAUGAGAAUAGUACAUGAGGAGCAAUCUCAGAGAGGGAUCUGCAUGGUGGAAGGAUCCUGUGCGUGAAUCAUGGAACCGGCCUCGGAGCUCUGUAUAACUGAAGUACAGCGUAGAUCCGGCGUUAAAGGAUAUUGAGAGAGUAAUUGUUAUUUUAAUUGCUAAUUAGGGUGGUACCGCCGAAGUCCUUCGGUCCCUUUA
rnacentral:ncRNA from 1 species